AGCGAACGCUGGCGGCAGGCUUAACACAUGCAAGUCGAACGGGCGUAGCAAUACGUCAGUGGCAGACGGGUGAGUAACGCGUGGGAACGUACCUUUUGGUUCGGAACAACCCAGGGAAACUUGGGCUAAUACCGGAUAAGCCCUUACGGGGAAAGAUUUAUCGCCGAAAGAUCGGCCCGCGUCUGAUUAGCUAGUUGGUGUGGUAACGGCGCACCAAGGCGACGAUCAGUAGCUGGUCUGAGAGGAUGAUCAGCCACAUUGGGACUGAGACACGGCCCAAACUCCUACGGGAGGCAGCAGUGGGGAAUAUUGGACAAUGGGCGCAAGCCUGAUCCAGCCAUGCCGCGUGAGUGAUGAAGGCCCUAGGGUUGUAAAGCUCUUUUGUGCGGGAAGAUAAUGACGGUACCGCAAGAAUAAGCCCCGGCUAACUUCGUGCCAGC
rnacentral:rRNA from 1 species